rnacentral:rRNA from 1 species
CUGAAAAGCCACUAAGCUUCAGCUGUAGAAAAACCGUGCCGCAAACCGACACAGGUAGGCAGGGUGAGAAUCCCAAGGCGCUUGAGAGAACUCGGGUGAAGGAACUAGGCAAAAUGGCACCGUAACUUCGGGAGAAGGUGCGCCUCUUGGUGUGGUCACGUGCGUGACUGAGCAUCGAGGGGUCGCAGUAACCUGGCCGCUGCGACUGUUUAUCAAAAACACAGCACUCUGCAAACACGAAAGUGGACGUAUAGGGUGUGACGCCUGCCCGGUGCUGGAAGGUUAAUUGAUGGGGUCAGCCGCAAGGCGAAGCUCUUGAUCGAAGCCCCAGUAAACGGCGGCCGUAACUAUAACGGUCCUAAGGUAGCGAAAUUCCUUGUCGGGUAAGUUCCGACCUGCACGAAUGGCGUAACGACAGCGGCGCUGUCUCCACCCGAGACUCAGUGAAAUUGAAAUCGCUGUGAAGAUGCAGCGUUCCCGCGGCAAGACGGAAAGACCCCGUGAACCUUUACUAUAGCUUUACACUGAACGUUGAGUUCUUCUGUGUAGGAUAGGUGGGAGGCUAUGAAACCAGGACGCUAGUUCUGGUGGAACCAUCCUUGAAAUACCACCCUGAAGUGCUUGACGUUCUAACCUAGGUCCGUAAUCCGGAUCGGGGACCGUGUAUGGUGGGUAGUUUGACUGGGGCGGUCUCCUCCCAAAGAGUAACGGAGGAGCACGAAGGUACGCUCAGCGCGGUCGGACAUCGCGCACUGUGUGCAAAGGCAUAAGCGUGCUUGACUGCGAGAUCGACGGAUCAAGCAGGUACGAAAGUAGGUCUUAGUGAUCCGGUGGUUCUGUAUGGAAGGGCCAUCGCUCAACGGAUAAAAGGUACUCCGGGGAUAACAGGCUGAUACCGCCCAAGAGUUCAUAUCGACGGCGGUGUUUGGCACCUCGAUGUCGGCUCAUCACAUCCUGGGGCUGUAGCCGGUCCCAAGGGUAUGGCUGUUCGCCAUUUAAAGUGGUACGCGAGCUGGGUUCAGAACGUCGUGAGACAGUUCGGUCCCUAUCUGUCGUGGGCGUUGGAGAUUUGAGGGGGGCUGCUCCUAGUACGAGAGGACCGGAGUGGACGUUCCGCUGGUGUUCGGGUUGUCAUGCCCAUGGCAUUGCCCGGUAGCUACGAACGGAAGUGAUAACCGCUGAAAGCAUCUAAGCGGGAAGCACGCCCCAAGAUGAGAUCUCCCGAGAGCUUGACUCUCCUAAAGGCACCAUCAAGACUAGGUGGUUGAUAGGCACGGUGUGGAAGUGCAGCAAUGCAUUGAGCUUACGUGUACUAAUGAGCCGUGAGGCUUGAUCA